AGCGGAGGAAAAGAAACCAACAGGGAUUGCCCUAGUAACGGCGAGUGAAGCGGCAACAGCUCAAAUUUGAAAUCUGGCUCUUUUAGAGUCCGAGUUGUAAUUUGCAGAGGGCGCUUUGGCUUUGGCAGCGGUCCAAGUUCCUUGGAACAGGACGUCACAGAGGGUGAGAAUCCCGUACGUGGUCGCUGGCUAUUGCCGUGUAAAGCCCCUUCGACGAGUCGAGUUGUUUGGGAAUGCAGCUCUAAAUGGGAGGUACAUUUCUUCUAAAGCUAAAUAUUGGCCAGAGACCGAUAGCGCACAAGUAGAGUGAUCGAAAGAUGAAAAGCACUUUGGAAAGAGAGUCAAACAGCACGUGAAAUUGUUGAAAGGGAAGCGCUUGCAGCCAGACUUGCUUACAGUUGCUCAUCCGGGUUUCUACCCGGUGCACUCUUCUGUAGGCAGGCCAGCAUCAGUUUGGGCGGUAGGAUAAAGGUCUCUGUCACGUACCUCCUUUCGGGGAGGCCUUAUAGGGGAGACGACAUACUACCAGCCUGGACUGAGGUCCGCGCAUCUGCUAGGAUGCUGGCGUAAUGGCUGUAAGCGGCCCGUCUUGAAACACGGACCAAGGAGUCUAACAUCUAUGCGAGUGUUUGGGUGUCAAGCCCGAGCGCGUAAUGAAAGUGAACGGAGGUGGGAACCCGCAAGGGUGCACCAUCGACCGAUCCUGAUGUCUUCGGAAGGAUUUGAGUAAGAGCAUGGCUGUUGGGACCCGAAAGAUGGUGAACUAUGCUUGAAUAGGGUGAAGCCAGAGGAAACUCUGGUGGAGGCUCGCAGCGGUUCUGACGUGCAAAUCGAUCGUCAAAUUUGGGCAUAGGGGCGAAAGACUAAUCGAACUAUCUAGUAGCUGGUUCCUGC
rnacentral:rRNA from 1 species